UGCUGGGGUUUUAAUUCUUUUAUAUUUGAAAAUUAAAUAGGUAUCCAAUAGAAAGCUAUUAUUAAAAUAUUUAAAUUGAAGACUAUAAUGUUAAAAGUAUUUUUAUAAAACUAUGUAAAAAUCAGUUUUAUAACUUUUUCUAGAUAAUUCUUUAGAGCAGAGAAGAAGCUGCGAACAUUCUGGAUGCUGCUUCAAACCCUGGUGGCCCACCCUGGCGUUCUUCUACUCAAUCGAUUGCAACUGAUGACCAAGCCUUAGCUUUGCAUUCUGACGUGAAUUUCUCUGGAGCACCUCUGAGGGCAUGAAUGUUCAUCAAAUCAAUAUUUUUUUGUCAGAUGUUGUAGUUGUGACUACCCUAGUAGCUGUGUAUGGAAAAUGUUGAAGCUCAGAUAAAGUGUAUGAACUGUUUGACUGAAUGCCUUAAAUAAAUGUUGUCUCAAUACAUUUUUAGCAAGUGCAAAUUGGCAGGCAUUAAGCUUAAUUUCAAAGAUCUUAGCGAACCGGAUUGAUUUAUCCAGGUGAGUUUCUAGAAAAUUUCAUGCUUUAAGAUAAAAUGUUCUCUGCAAUUUCUCUCUCUAUUUUCUGAUGACCCAAAUUCGCAGUGUUGCUUGAGUUUGUUUGUUUUGACCACAAUUUUGUCCAUUGUACCUUGCAUCCAUUUGCUGACAAACAAACCUGUGAGGGCAGACUAAUCCUAGUCUGCAAUAGUUCCAUGGCGGCGUGGAUAAGCGGGAAACUCAAAAUUAAAGAGGGGUCACAGCCAAAAUAUCUGACAAAAAGGGCUACUGUCGAAUCUUCCGCAGCUAUUCUGCCAAGAAUAAACUUUAAGGGCUAACUAUAUAAUAGCAUUGCAAAACCCUGUAUGUAUGCAGGGUCUUAAAAAACCAUGUAAUAACAAAGCAAAAAGGCGUAGGAACAUAGAAACUGUGAAAUAGAAAGCCGUUGUUGAACAUCCAGAAUGGACCAGGCGGACUUCAUGAGACUAAGGUUCUCCUCCUCUGUCAAGUGGACAUUAACAACACCGAGCACACGUCCUCUUCCCAGUUGCGUAGGUAGGAUAAGAAAGACCUCUUCUUCAAUUCUGUGAAAACCCUUGGCCAGAACAGAAAUCGGGUGGCUCUUUCUCUGGUUACGUAGCAAACUCCUGGCCAAAUUAGUCAUCGAGUACAUUACAGUAUCUGAAUUUUUAGGGUGAAGGUGUAUUAAAUUCAAUAUGCAAUGGUGGUUUAUUUUCA